rnacentral:rRNA from 1 species
GUGCAGCAGUCGCGAAACCUCCGCAAUGCGGGCAACCGCGACGGGGGGACCCCCAGUGCCGUGGCAUCGCCACGGCUUUUCUGGAGUGUAAAAAGCUCCGGGAAUAAGGGCUGGGCAAGGCCGGUGGCAGCCGCCGCGGUAAUACCGGCGGCCCCGAGUGGUGGCCGCUAUUAUUGGGCCUAAAGCGUCCGUAGCCGGGCCUGUAAGUCCCUGGCGAAAAUCCCACGGCUCAACCGUGGGGCUUGCUGGGGAUACUGCAGGCC